rnacentral:rRNA from 1 species
AAUAUUAGACAAUGGGGGCAACCCUGAUUUAUCCAUGCUUCGUGCGUGAUGAAGGUCUUCGGAUUGUUAAGCACUUUCAUUUGGGUGGAAGGGUUUUAGGCUAAUACCUUGACGUUUUGUCGUUACCUACAGAAUAAGCAUUGGCUAACUCUGUUCCAGCAGUCGCGGUAAUACAGAGGGUGCAAGCGUUAAUCGGAAUUACUGGGCGUAAAGCGGGCGUAGGUUGUUCAGUAAGAUGGGUGUGAAAUCCCCGGGCUUAACCUGGGAACUGCUUUCAUAACUGCUGAGCUAGAGUACGGUAGAGGGUAGUGGAAUUUCCUGUGUAGCGGUGAAAUGCGUAGAUAUAGGAAGGAACACCAGUGGCGAAGGCGACUACCUGGACUGAUACUGACACUGAGGUGCGAAAGCGUGGGGAGCAAAC